rnacentral:rRNA from 1 species
UACGGAGGGUGCAAGCGUUAAUCGGAAUUACUGGGCGUAAAGCGCACGCAGGUGGCUGAGUCAGUCGAUUGUGAAAGCCCUGGGCUUAACCUGGGAACUGCAUCCGAAACUACAAGUCUUGAAUGCUUCAGAGGUUGGUAGAAUUCCAGGUGUAGGAGUGAAAUCCGUAGAUAUCGGGAGGAACACCAGUGGCGAAGGCGACUACCUGGCCUGUUCUUGACGCUGAGGCGCGAAAGCUAGGGGAGCAAACGGG